ensembl:lncRNA
CAUUUUAGCAUACAUGUUGACUCUGGCAGCAAUAUGUAUUCUGUACAUUGCCUAGCUCCAUUCCAACCUAUUCAUACAGGAGUGCUGUGCCUGCUUUGGAACUGCCUUGCGCUAUUUUCACAGAUUUAUUGCCAGAGAAAAUAAAACAGGCUUCAUUCAUUCCUGAGGCUAAUAUGGAUGUGGUAAAGGUGACACAAAAAGCUGAAAGAGCACGGGACAAAAUCAUGCUUCUUCCAUUGCAAAGAUCCACUCAAGCAGGUAGGUUCACCAAAAGACAUCAUCUCCUCAGGAAAGCAUGAGUUGCUCCUGGUACAGGGAAAUAACGGGGAAAUGCAAGAGGAAAAGACUGAAUUUGAGUUCUAUUUCUUCCCUGCUUCCUUUUGAAGCAUCAUCUUUAAUUGGUACCUCUUCUGGGCUGCUAUGACUAAUGCUAUGUUCAAGUAUGCAGAGAUUUUCGAAGACCUAAAACCAGCAAGGAUCCUAUUAAAACCAUAUGCAUCUCCCUCUCUGUAGUAGGGCAUCUGGGAGUGUGUUAUAUUCUGUGCACCCCUAAGGCAAAUGAACAUUCAGAUUUUAG